GGAGAGUAACAAACUAAUAAACCAAAGUCUUUUAUUUCUUUCCUUUUUAUAGAUCACGUGCUGAAGGCUCCUGAGGAAUGCCUCUGUCUCCCAGGCCUGAGCUCAAAGCAGAGAUCACCUCACAGCUUGCUUUAGUCAGGGCUGAUGAAGGACAAAUGCUGCUGGGUUUGCCUGGACACUCAGAGCCAGGAUCCACAAGAAGAUGUUUCUAUUCUUGCACCUCUGCUUUGAACAAGAGGUGGAUGUUUCAGAAGCUGUUCAAUUUAUUCACUGGCUGCACUCUUAAAUCCAAACUAAUCCGUACAUUACAAACCCUGAACUCCAGCACUUCUGAGAGCUGAGAACUGCUGUUUCCAUUUGUGCUAAACUUCUGGAAAUGGACAACAGAACUUAACAUUCACUUUUUGAGAAUGGUCAUGGAGGAUCCACCUUUCCCCAUCCCAUGGCAUGGUCACCACCCUGCCCGAUGGGAGUUUCUGUCAUCAUUCCUGGCAUCCUAUUCCCCAACCUUUUGUGGGGCUACCUUUUUGUGUUCAGCUAAUGACACCAUUCUAAAAUACAAAGAACCCCUCUGAUCUCUGUUUUUCAGAGACAGCACCCUUGGUUCUGGUGUCCUGAUUAGAGAUGUGCCCUUUGCAGUGAUUUGGAGCUGUGAAAUGGCUCCUGUCGCUCCACUCUGAGCCUGUGGGUAUCUCACAGGAUAAAUCUGGAAGAGCUGUAGAGCGCAGAUGAUUUUUGGCAAGUAUCAUUUUAUCAUCAAAAUUUUAUUUUUGGGUCGCUCUUCAGCUGCCGCCUUCUGUGAAGGAGAACGACGCCCAUUUGAUGGCUUUUAUUCUGGAUUCCCGAGCAGUCUCCUCUGCUUAGAGCACAACUAAUGGCAGCUCUGGCUGAGAUAAUGGGAGGUGGGGAUGGAUGCAUGGAGCUGGAACUGAGGUGGACUGUCACCUUUGUCUGAACGUGGAGACACAGCUCAUGUCCUCAGAGCUGGGAGAGUCACAGCAAGCCAGGCAGAAAAUAUAUUUUAUUUUAAAUAAAUUUGAAAUAAAUUGUAAUUAUUAUUUUUAA
rnacentral:lncRNA from 1 species